GACCUGAUAGCACAAUUGGAAGUGCGUCUGUUUCGCUUAGUUCGCCUUGAUCAAUGAUUUAGGCAGAAGAUCCUCGUUCGAUUCGGGGUCAGGUCG